UACAGAGGGUGCAAGCGUUAAUCGGAAUUACUGGGCGUAAAGCGUGCGUAGUCGGUUAUCUAAGUCGGGUGUGAAAUCUCAAGGCUCAACCUUGAGCUUGCAGUGGGUACGGGCAGACUAGAGUGUGGUAGGGGAGACUGGAAUUCCUGGUGUAGCGGUGAAAUGCGCAGAUAUCAGGAGGAACACCGGUGGCGAAGGCGGGUCUCUGGGCCGUAACUGACGCUGAGGAGCGAAAGCGUGGGGAGCGAACAGG
rnacentral:rRNA from 1 species